rnacentral:lncRNA from 1 species
AUGCCUGGCACAAGUGGGGGCUCGAGAGCAAGAGGGAAGUUUUGGACGAUGGCGUCUUCCUCGGACGGUCCCAGGAGUGUGGCUGUUUUGAAAAAUCAGGCGUUCCUGCCAGAGGCGCUUCAGGCUUUCAACAGCCCUCUUAGGAAUGGAAGACAGCCCCUGAGUAGAAAUAAAGGAAGGGGAAGAGUGCUUAUGAAGUGCGUGAUCGGUGUUUUCAGUCGGAUCACUCAGGGGGACGUCCCGCAGGUACAAUCGGAGUCAGCCGCUGGGGGGGGGGGGGGCGUUCAAAAUAUUAACGUAACAAGGGCUGAUUGGACUUCUUCUAUGAAUGAGGCCCAUCAUUAUCAUCCCCUCGGCCCCCUGUCUCUGGGCAGUGCUCCUCUUUCUCAGGAUCCCAGUGAUUAA